UCCCAUCGCUCCACUUUCCCGGACCUUCAAGCACAAGGAAGAGAUAUUUAUACUCGUUAGUAUUUAACCCAUUCUCCACGACCAAGCAAAAUAUAAAGUCUACAGAUACAAAAACCAAAACCACUCUGUUUGGUUACGAUGUUAGAGUCGAUCGUUGCUGGCUCUUGUUCUGUUCCGUUACAGUUGCAAGCUAAAGAUAAUCUUACUGCAGGAGCAUGUUUCUCUGAUACAACGAAAUCCGCUUCAGUGGCAUGCCGUUCUUCUUCUUCGAGAACCAACGCUUAUAAUGUCCCAAAACUCGAACCCUUUAGCCGUACUAAGUUAGAACGUGCCGUCAAAGAACCCUCCUUGAUCGAAAAAUCUGAAAACGAUCUUGCAGGUCCAUUUCCGUUACUUAUUUUCAAAUUUUUUUAAUAAACUUUAUUUGAUCUUAUUUUAAAUAAGCCUUCUGUUAUGGUUCCUGUGCAGAUUAUUGUUCGACACUCGAAGGAGAUGAUUCCUACAGUUGCUGGAGAGCUUACUUUGAGCUCAAAGAUCUUGAAGUUAGUCUAUUCAUUUACUUCAAAUCAUAUUGCCCUUAAAACUUAUAAUUCAAAUGGAACUUUGUAUGUGAACUUUAAUUCUUUGUGUGAAAUUGAUCAGAAAGAAUUGCCAAAAGAAGAUAUCGAGAAACUGAUCCUGCAAUCGGGUGGUGUGAAAUCUUUAAUUGGGUGCUUACAUGGGAUAUCAUCAAUACGCAAAGCAAAGACUGAUGGGUUAGCUUCCGAAGAAAAGCAAUUGGGUUCCAAGAGAAUAGAAAGCAGUUCGCGUCCUGUCCCGGAUGGGCUGCCCAAGACCCUGGAAGAGCUUGAGGAAGAAGAGAGAGCGAGAAUGCCUGAUUCUCCAUACACGAGAUUGCUUAGAGCAAAAGGGAGACUCCCUGCUUGGUACUCGCUUGCCCCUGAUCACGAAACAGAUUGAUAAUUCAGGCGAAGAGGUUUAACAAGUUUUGUGUUGGUUCGUUGCAGAUAUUAUCAUGGAUCUGGUGUAUUAUUUAAAUGUGGGAUUUUUGCUCUUUGAUUGAUUGUCGUAGCGAAGUAUACAGUUCCAUCAGUUGAUAAGUUAUAUAGUCUUAAUAUCGAAUAUGUGCUUCAGAGCAAACACCUUUUUUGCAUAUAAAUAACUCCAGCUAUUGAAAUCUUCUUGCAACAUUCUUUAUAGCAAGGCUAAUGCUAACUUACAGUCCCCUCGUAUGAAUAGUAAAUUAUGUGGGUUCACUUACUAUUUAUAUAAGAGGAUUGUAAGUUACAUGUACGUAACUUACGGAAAUCCUUAUAGCAAUUUGAGCUGAGCUGAGACAGACUGUUUGUUUGGCUGCUUUGUUGUUUCAUUAUAAAUCUUCAUAAACAGGGUGGCAUGAUGGUAAAUUUGGUUUCAAUGAUCAGUGUAUGUUCUCUAUGUGACACAUUGAAGUCCACUGAUCAUUUCCAGGCCACAAAAGAAUAAGCUUGACCCAAUUAUCAAUGAAAUCAACUGGAGAAUAGAAACUAAAUCUCAAUUAAUUGAGCCAAUUCUGCUUACAUGUGCAAAGUUCAACGGUAAAGCCGUAAAGGAGGGCUUCUCAAGCUGAACUUAGGAACUUGUGAACUAAUAUAAGCUAUAAUUUUAAUCUCAUUUAACGGUGUUUAAUCUCUGCAGAUUUUAUUGAUAAUGAUAAAUAAGAUCAUCCUUCACCGUUUGAUUAGUGAAAACCAUGGAGUUGUCUGCCAAGUGGCAAACAGGGUGAACUUCAAUUGCCUUCCUCAUGUCAUAUUCUUCUGAUUAAAUACAAUCAAUUUUGUCCGACUGAUUAUCAUAUACAAUCGGUCAAUUGCCAUUUUUAGCUUUGCUCAAACAAAGAAACAACUUCCAUUAACUUAUCUAAAGUUUAGUUAUGCACCAGGGGUGCUCCAAUCUCCCGGCAAAAUUGGUGGCGAAAAAACAGAGAGACAUUUUUCCUUUUUUUUCUUUUCCCAGUCUGUCAGUGGCUCGAAAUCCUUAACCUCUACCUCUAUAUAUAACACCUCUCCUGCCAUUGGGAUCCACAGCCUGCUAUAUGCAGCCUUGGACUUGAAACCAAGGUGUUAACAAGUAUGGCUAAAACCAGAGGAUUGCAGGUCUUUGGCUGUGUUGUUCUCGUCUCCCUUGCAUGCUCGUCUUUAUCAUCCAUUUGUUCUGCUUUGACUGAUGCUGAAGCGGCUUUCAUUGCUCGCUGCCAGCUCUUAACAUUACCAAAGGAUGGAAAACUUCCUGAUAAUUUCGACGAUGAGUAUGGUCUUAAGAACAAAAAUUUUUCCAAUGAUAGGCUUAAGAAAGCAUAUGUUGCCCUUCAAGCUAUCAAGGUAAUAGCUCAAGAAAGUUCACAAAAAACACAGGAAGGCCAAAAUAUAGCUUCUUAAAAUAAAAUAUCAGUAGUAGAAAUGCUCAAAUGUUAUCCAUUCAAAAUGUGAUGGCGAUAACAGCAGCAUAAAAGAGAUCUCAACCAAGAAAGUUGUUACCAGAAGAAAAGAACAUGACAAUUGAUCAUAAAGUAACAAAUGUGACAAAUCUCUAUCAUUAGCACUUAGUAGUUAAAAGAGCGAUGAAAAGAGAACACUCUUAAUUAUUGAAACCCUCUAGAUCAUUGUCAUACAUAAUUCCAAAUUCUCAAAUGCAAGAAAACAGCAAUUCAAUCACGGUUUCUGGUAGAUGAAAGGGCACAUCAUAAUUGUUCACACUCUCAGAACAAAUUCACACAAUUGACCAUGCAACAAACCAAUACUAAGAUGUUGAAACAAAAAAUGAGAGCGCAAUUACUCAAGGAAGGAAAAAUUUUAGCUCACCUUAGCCAGCCUCUUCUCUUAAGUUGAAAUACCUUGUCCUCUAAAUUCAAUAGAGGCACACUUACGUUGGGCGGAGUCCACUGCACGAAAAUCAAUUAUAAACAAUAAAAUAUCUCAUACAAAAAUAUACCAGGUUAAAAAAUUUAGCAAACAGGCUGUAAUCUUGACCUUACGGAAGUAAAUAAAAAUAACAAUGAAUGCACCAAAAAGAGCUGGAUGCAAACUUAUAUACAAGUAGUACGCUCAAAAGGUACACAAGAGAAACAUGAAUAUCAAAUAAAGCACAGAAAUCUAAAAACCAAACAUCACUCUAUUAAGUGAAAGAGAUAAAGAACUACUUGAAUCAUCAUAAAAUUGCAACAAUCCCAACAUAAACCAAUAAGUACACUCAAAGUCUUUAAGGUCAUCAAUGCAUUUAUACAUAGUCUGUAUGGAAACUUUCAAUACACUAGUUAUCUCUAUAUCACACAUUGUUUAAUUUUGCCUUUAAAACCUAAUAUCAUUUUCAACCCAGCCAAAAUUCCCUUGUCCCUAAAGACAUUUCUACUGACAAAAAAAUGGAGCAUUAAAUAGGACAGACGGUGAAAUCAAUUAUUAGCAAUCCCUUGAAGUAGCAAUAAGAUAUAUCAUCACCGAUUGAGCUUGCUAACAGGCAUUCACUAUUGAGCAUUUCUGCCAUUUUUUCCUUGCCACCUACACCUUAGCCUUCGACUCAAGAAUUUAACUUAAUGGAUGUUUCAUCAUACCGUGAAAACUCCAAGAACGUUUUACUAUGCUACCUCAAAUAUGAUAGGUAUUUCAAAUUAACACAGUAUCAAGAUACUCAAAUUCAUGCGCAAAACCAAUAUAAUGCCAAUUAUAUGAACAUUACCUCUGGAGGCAUUCCAACUGGAUUUAGUGGAGAACCGGCUGCAGGAAAUCCAACCUGGCCAAUCCCUUCAGCUUUUGCCUCUAAGCUCAAUUUCUUCUGUGUGGCUAAGUUCCUAGACUCUUCACCACGUUUCACUACCCGAGGUGGAAAACCUUUUGAGUUCAAUUCAUUGUCUGAAUGCCACCCAGUUCCUUGUGCAAAAGAUGUGACCUCCUGAAGGUCAUGGCUUCCAUCUUUAUCACCGUCUUCAUUGUCAGAGAAGCUGUUCACGGUCUCAGAUGUAUUUUGCCUUACAACAUAUUUACUAAUCUCAUCGGUACUCAAUGACAAGUUUCUACCAGGGAUUGAGGAGGAGGUAUCAUCAGUGGGGGAAGGUGAACCAACAACUUUCCUCGUCAAGCCAUCUGAAACCCCUUUAAACUGCCGUACAAUGUCAUCCGCGGCAUCAUCCACAUUUACUGUAAUAACAACAAAGGACGAUUAAAUGGUCAGAAAAAUCACAAUAACUCAUCUAGGCUAAAAUCAAAAUUCAGGAAGAAAACAGAAGUAUAAUUUUGCCAGAACUUAUUGGGUGAACUACUUAUUUUCAAUCACAAAAAAAUUCAUUAAGAAUAAAAGAAUGAGUUCCAUAUGCGUGAUAGUUCCACUUCAAAUAGUUGGCAAAAUAAACUAAUUCCAUUUUACAGUUUCUCACAUAUGAAUUAGAUUGAAAAUGAGAUGUUCAAAGCCAUCCAGGAUACACACACAAGCACCAGUAUGUACAAUAAGAGACAGACUUCUGAUGGUCAAAAUUGAAUAAAAAUGUGUGUAUGUGUACGUGACAGAAAGAGAGAGAGAGACUUUGACAAAUUGAGAUCGUUAAAAAAAAAUAAUAAUAAAUAAAUAAAUAAGAAAGAGGAAAAACAAAUUUAUGACAUACAUAGUGAUGAGGAACAUGCCACUUCUAUGAAUAAAGGAAAAAUACGUGUGGCCAAUAGAAUAAAGUACACUGAGUAAUAAUAUUAAAUAAAAGUCUUACUACUGACCAACUCUUAGAAAAAUGCAAAUGGUAAUCCAGAAGAUGAAAGAGUUUGUUUAAAAUCAUGAAAACAACUAUACUGGAUAAUUGUCGCAGUUGAAGAACCUAUGAAAAAAUCCACGUGAUGGGAUCUCUUGCACUAUAAGUAACAGGAUAAUAAAAGGCAAUAAAAAAAAAAGAAAUGUAUAAAAUUCAAGAGUGUGGUAACAACAAACAAAAAUACCACAUACCUGCUAGGGUUCUCAUCACUGAUGAUGAUUUUCCAAAAGAAUAAUUCUUCAAAAUCCAAAGGCUAUAUUAGUGAUUAGAUAUAUCUCAGCUGACCAAAAGAAAAUGUAAAUGACUGUUGUAAACGAGUUACAGUAUUUAGCCAGGAAACUAACACCGACUGUCAGGAAGAUACAAACCUUCGAAUUAACACUUAAAAAAUCCCAGACUUCAUGUUGUUCAGCAACAUUGGCUAUAGAAAGGAGAUCCUGUGGUAUAGGUAACAAAACUGAGACAAGAAGAAAAUGGUGCUGCCAUUGAAGAGAAUAAGACAGAGAAGGAAGUUAGAGUACAUGUAGAUAUUUGUCAAGCUGAAUACAGCACUGAUAAACUAAAGCAUCCUCGGUGCUUGACGAGACUAUCCUUUUGGGGGGUAAAUGUAAUGUAUAGUUUGGGAAUUCAUUAAGAUGUCGAUGUAAUCGUUCAAAAUUUCUAUAUCUGCAUGGAGACAAGAACAAGAGUCAAGUUAAAACCAGACUCAAAUCAUUUCUGCUACAAAAUGAAGCAUACUGAUAUGGAAACUCCAGGAACUUUCUUAUUAACUCAUUGCAACCAAACUAACUUGUGGUUACCAGACAAAUUCUCUAAUGUGUAUAAAACAUGUGAUGACAUGGUACUCUUGUAGAUAUGAAAUGGGCAAGUAGAAACCUUCUUUUCACAAACCAAGUUCUGUUAUCUGAAUCCGUCACUGCAAUUGAAUACACUGCAAAAGAUUUUGACCCAAGUUUCUCAAAAUAAGCUCCCAUUACCUGCACACAUAGGUCAGGAAAGCAUACAAAAUUUAACUAUGACUUGAAGAAAACAUCAUCCAGGAUAUAUCUAGAGACACAAGCUCAACAGAAAAGGAUUGUAAUGGCUGAUCAUUUUAUAUUUUAUGCAUCUCACAAAAAUUUUAGAUAAAGAUGCUCACCCGGCACUUGAGCUUGGGGCAAUAUCGUCCAUCACUGCAAAGCAUUACAUCUGAGGCGUUCUUAUGCCCAUGUUCUUCCCCACUCCUUCCAAAAUCAGGGCUGUAAAACUCAGCAAUGAUGGACCCUCCACCAUCUCCAUCAAACGCUUUUUUUGAAUCAGGUUCAGUUUUCAAAGCAGAAGUGCUGCUGGAGUUCUUAAUCCUACUUCGAUUUGCAUCUGCACCAACGCUAUCAGUAUUAUUCAACAGAUCCCCAUCAAAAUUUUGAAACAAUUGUGUUUCCUUUUUACUCCCCUCACUUAUUUGAGUUACAAGACUUGAUCCUGGUGAUAGCCCCAGGAGUGCUUUCUCCCCUGUUCCUGCAGAUAAUCCAAUCCUGUUGGUGAGCACAUCCUUCCCCAUAUUCGUAGUAGGUACAGCACUACGUAUUCCUUGACCCCCAAUAUUCGUAGUUGGAACAGCACUAUGUAUUCCUUGACCCUUCCCUAGGUGUUCCCGGACGCCAGCAUUUUCUGCACGUUUCUGCUCUUUCUUCUUAUAAUUUCUUCCUUUUGUCCACAUAUUUUCAAGAUUUUCGGGAGUAAGAACUUCAGUUCUUCUUUGCGUCACAGCCUCCAGCAUUUGUGCCCACUCAGCAGCUCGCAGAUGCACAGACUCUUCCUGGGAUGUAUUAUCAUCCAAAGACAUUUCUCUUUGAUUCCCAAAAUUUGUUGGUAUCAUAUCAGUCCCUUGAUUAUGCAACGAAGAGAAUUGUCCUGAGAUCAAAUCUCCCAUUUUCAUUUCCCCUGUACGCUUAUCACCACUCAACCCUCUAUUGCUAUCAUCUCUGAUAGCAAGUAAAAUGACUUCAAUCAAUUCAUUGAUAUACCUGGUUAAAGAAAUAAUUUUAUCGGAUGGUUAGACAUUCAAGAGAAGAGAAAGGCAUAGAAUACUUCACGUCCUCUGAGAAUUUCUAAAAAUAAAAACUCAAAUGUAUGCUGUUACAAGUAUAAUCCGUUGAAAGUAUGGUAUGAUUAUCAUUCCCCUUCCCUCACUACAUUAAGUGAUGUAUAUUGGAGUUGUAACAAUGUCCUCAACUCAGCAUUUCAGAUGAUUUUAACAACAAAUAUUCCAUUUGCAAAAUAAUUAGUUCAAGAAACAAGUCUAGUCUAGCACAGUCCACAGGUAGUUCAAAAGCUUUAUUGUUUUAGACUCAUAAAUUUCAUUUUAUUUUAUACCUCGUUAGCAAGUCAACAAGAUUUAUUGUUUUGACCCUUCCCGAUAGUUCACCAAUUGCAUCCAUGAUAAUGGUUCGCAUUAGCUCAGGGGCCUCCCUAUCCGGUGUAAUAUCUGAAUACCAUAAAUCAACCACAAAAUCCUUCAAAAUUUUAUCGAUAAACUCGCUGAUUGCAGACUCCACCAUAGGAGAAUCAAUUUUCCGCUUCCAUUUUUGUGGGGCUGAUGCAUUAGAAAGACGUGAAUCAUUCACAGACAAUUGUUUCUUCUCCAACAGAGAAAGAUAAGUUUGAGGAUGUCGUGCCUUAACUUUCCAGGAUAUUUCUACCUCAUUGGAUAGAAUUCGCAAUGCACAAACAAUAAGAACUGAUAUGGGCAAAUUCAUCAACAUUGAUGUGCUUGUAUCUGCAUUGAAUAAUUAAAAAGAAAAUAAAUAUAGUACACAGAUAAGCAGUACGUUAUACAGAAACAUAUUUCAAAAGAUAGCAUAUCAAUCUCCCAAAAACUGGUACCGUAAGAAAAACAAUCAGUAGCAGCAUCAAAGAGUUAGACCAAGAUUCUCCAUGAUUUGGUUGCUCUCAGAGAUUCAAAAAACACUUUAAUAAAAUCUGGAAUCCAACUUGGCAUCAUUAACUUAAGCAAUGAAAAAGCUAAAAGAAGAACUUACACUAGCGUCAUAAACAUUUUACUGAGUUCACUGAGGUUUUCCAUUUUACGGCCCCUGAAGUGUUUUCUACUUGACAGCUAAUGUCUACUUACUAUCCACUGCUAGUGAUUUCAUUCUACAGCAGCCGUGGACUAAAAGCCACAGCAUCUCAACAAAAAACAUACCCUUAGUUCGGCGGCACCAAAUUCAAAGUUAUCCUUUCAUAAAAAAGGUAUAUAAAUGAAGACUGGCCCUAUCAUUAACACUAAUUUCCAAUUUCAAAUUACCAAACACAGCUUAAACACCAAUAAUAAGACACCAUAAAUACCAGCUAAAAAGCACACAGAAUUAAAUGAUGUAAAAAAGUUCAACAAUGCAACGACAAUUCAAAAUUCUAAGACGACACCCUAGCUUAACCUAAACUAUAAAUUAAAUUCAACACAAAUUAACUGAAUAAAGCAAAAAAAGAAAAUUAAAAACAAAAAACACGAGAAUUUGAUUGUUAUCGUACGCGAUAAGAAAUAGCAGACCGCGAAUAUCAACAAGGCCCACCACACCGUCCGUACUUUGGCUUCCUCGAUCAGAUCUUGUAUCGUCUCCAUCGCCUUCAUUUUUUUUUUUUCUCUGUUUAAUUAACAGAAAAUUGCUUAAAUUUUCAAUUGACUAGAGACAUCGAUAUCGCUCGAGGAUAUUGAUCGCACGAAACGUAAGGCCCUGUUUGGUUUCUGGAGACGUGGUGGCGUCUGUCAGCUAAUUGACUUUAUACAGCAAUUAAUUUGUAAGCAGCAAACAUGAGGGAACAUCAGACUCAGAGCAUCUGAAAUUUGAUUUCGUUAGCUUCUCUUUUUGUUUUUUUUUUUGGCAUUUUAUAUUUUUAUUUUUAAUUUUUUUUUCUUGGUAUUUUAAAUGGAAACAAAUUAUACGUGCGAAAAAGAAAAUUUGCUAAGCGUCGUUAGGCUCAUUGUUCCGUUACUUUACACGUGUAAAGUCGGGGAUCUUCUCAGUUCAUCUGAAAAUUAUUUCUAUAAAUUUUUGCUAUUUAUUACUGUAAAUAUUAUUAUUAAAGGUAUAUGCAUUUAGGGACAAAAUGCCUGAUAACCAAUAAGAAUGUUUGCUAUAUAAUUGCUGCAAAUGACAAAAAUUAAUGCUGGUAGGAGGCGCAUAUGGGUGACAGCGUGGAUUAUACAAGUCAUGUUGGUGUUGUGUUACAAAUGUUUCCAACUCAUUCCUACGAGUUGUUUGCGUCUCUAGUGUGAUCGAAUCCUUCCAGUAGUAAUCAAAUGAACUGUGUUAUAGAUAUAAAGCGUAACAACUCAAGGUACUCUAUUGUUCCCAUCUUUAUCUAAUUCGAGGAGUAGAGUCAGGAUCCCUUGAGUUCUUAAUAAACAUAAUAUUAUGUUUUGCUCCUAUAAAUAGAAAAAAAAUGGAUAACUUUUUUAAUGCAUCUUCGUGCAUAAGAAUAUUAGAUUACCCAGUAUAAAAGAUUGAAAAAUCAUCAUAAACCACCUUUUUUUUUUCUUUCUUUUUUUUUUUUUUUGGAUUUUUUAUGGUAUCUUUUAACUUUCCAUAUAUAGAAAUAGAAACAAAUAAACUUAAAUAUUAGAAUCUUGUAUUAUUGUCAAUAUUAAAUUUAUAAGACAAAAGAUAAAUCAAGUAAUGAGUAUAAAUCCUGUGAGGUAUUAGUUACAAUAACUUGUAAGGUAUCUUUGUACAAACUAAUAUGUUUAUAAUAAAAUGUAACUUGAUAUUAUUUUUAUUUUGUAUUUUAUUAGGAUACAAUCCAAAUUUUUAUAUUUAUCCUUACUGUAGAAACUGAAGAGCACUUAGUUGCUCAAACACCUGCAGUUUCUGCCCAAGAUCCAAGAUCAUAUUCCUAGAUGCUUUUCUAUUGAUGACUUGAAAAAGGUUUAACCAAGAACUUCAACUGAACAGAACAAUCAAUGGUUUAAGAAUCAAAGAAUUAAAUCAAACAAAGAAUAAAGAACAGAAGAGUUUUAACAUGGUUCAGCUAAUUCUCUUAGCUUACAUCCACGGAGGAACAAUACAACAGGCUUUUAUUGAAUGAACUCAAGAUUACAGAGAAUUUACAGAGUGUCUCUCAUGGAAAUUACAUACGCUCGAUUGAGAGAUUAACCCCCCUUUUAUACUCAUGAUUCGUAGCCAGCUAUCUGCACCAGAAUCAGCUCCUUUCAGUUGCUGAUAACCUCCUGGAAACUAAUUCCAGAUGCUCACGUGCAAGCCAUGCUUCAUCAACGACUUUAACAGCUUUUGUCAUUAGAAUCCAUUCACGUGCGUAUCAUGUGUUUCACUAACUUCAACGACAGUCAAUAACAUCGUUUUAGUUAGCUUCGUAUUUAAACACAAAAACGCACUUCUUCAAGUCGUUUUGAAUUGCUUUCACUGGUUACUGUUGUGCAAAUUUUAAUGAACUCGCAAGUGCACGAAUCUAUUGUAGUGUAGAUCAAUGGUGACGAGUGUCGAUCCCACGAGGAGGUGGAUUUUAAUUAUGUGUAGAAUUAAUUCUGUAAAUGGGUGAUUGGAUUUGUGGUGGAAAUGAUUUGGAAUAUACUAAAAUUUAAAUUAAAAUGGCGAGAAUAAAUUCUAAAAUUGGAAUUGAAAUAGCGAGAAUAAAUUGAAGAGAAUUCUAUUGAAAUGACGUACUUGGGUAUCUGGAUCCGUAUCAACAUGCAUCAUGGGCUAAAUAUUCCUUAUUAAUGUCAAUUAAAUCAUGAGGGGGGAAUCCACACCUCAUGAACCACGCUCUAAUCAAUAUGGUGCUAAGGGCUUAUCGUGCCAAAUAAUAAUAACCUUAUACUAGAGAGCCGGUGUAACCAAGGCGGUAUCUAGACAAGAUCAGUAUUAUUUGUCGACGAUAAGUCAAAUCAUCCACAAAAACUAGAGGGGAAAAGAAAAUAAAUUUACCAAAUAAAGCCCAUGACACAUGUUGAGACUUCACCUUCAACCCAAGCUUGAAAGGAAAUUAGCUACUCAUAAUUGAACUAGGGGCAAAAUGGGAAUUUAUUAAAAUAUAAAGAAAAUACAAGAUGGAGAAGGAAUUACAGAAAAUGGAUCCCAAAAAUGGAUUCAUAGAUAUCAAAUUAGGGGGGGGAGGUCCCCUUUUUAUAGAUACAUGGAGUAAAUCAUGGCCUAUCGGAUUAAAAACAGUUUGGACGCUCAGGAUUGCGCCACGUCAUCAGUCAACAGUCCACGGUUUGACCACGCGGAUGAACAGUAACACGGUUUGACUCGGAUGAACAGUAACGCGGUUUGACUCGGAUGAACAGUAACGCGGUUUGGUUGAAAAUAAUCCUGUGUGAUGCAUGUACCGUACGCGAGAUUUUUCAUCCACUGAUAUGCUGCCACGUCACCAUCAACAGUACAUAAGAAUUUUUGCCCAACAGGAUCGUGACACCUCAUCAGUCAAUGCCAUAUCAUCGGUCAAUGCCACAUCAUCGAUCCAUCUAUGUGAACAGUGUUGUGAACAGUAACGUAGUUAGUACCGUACACGUGAAUAGUACCGUACAUAUGAAUAGUGUCAUUUUUCCUUUUAUGCUCCUCCUAAGAUUUUCGACUGUCCUGAGUUCAAAAGUGAUGUCCGUUUUGCCGUCUGAUCUCUCCUUUAUUGUGAAAUGACUAUAAUGCCCCUAAAAUACAUAAAAUACUUAAUUAAAAUAAAACACAUGUAAUUAAAUCACAAGAAGGUUAAAUACAUAAAAGUAAGGGUUGUUAGUAAGACUUGAAAUGUAAAAUGACGGUUUUCUCUUUUAUAAAUAUGCAUUUUCUAACACUCAACAGUUACUUUACAAAUCUCCACCUUGAAACAAUUCAUCCCUGUCAAUCUUUCUCCUCAAAUCCAUGCAAGUUACAAACUGCAUAUUUCAGCUAUGUCCAAGCAGGUCUUGAACUUAGCUGAAGGUAUCACCUUUGUAAGCGUAUUAGCAGGAUUGUUGCUGGUAUGUAUUUUUACCAUCUUUACAACUCCUUUUGAUAUUACAUUCCUUAUAAAAUGCAACUUAAUGUCGAUAUGCUUGGUUUUCUCAUGAUGAGCUGGAUUUCUGCUUAAGUAAAUGGCACUUGAGCUGUCACAGUGGAUAUCAACAACCUUCUGAGGUAUUCCUAACUCACUGAUUAAGCCUUUAAGCCAUAAAGCCUCCUUGACAGCUUCUGAGGCUGCAGUAUACUCAACCUCUGUAGUUGAUAAAGCCACUACAUGUUGCCAACUUGCUUUUCAGCUUAUCAGACAUCCAUUCAACAUGAACAUGUAUCCAGUUUAUGACCUCCUUCUGUCCAGAUAGCCCCAUAAACCAUCUUCAUUUGUCUCUCGAUUCUUUCCAUACAAUAACCCAAAAUCCAAAGUUCCAUUCAGAUAUCUCAGCACCCAUUUAGCUGCCUUCCAAUACUCUUUUCCAGGUGAUGCCAUAUACUUGCAUAUCAAGCUUAGAGCAUGUGAAAUAUCUAUUCUUGUGAGGACCAUUGCAUACAUCAUACACCCCACUGCAUUGGCAUAAGGUACUUUAGACAUCUCUUUCUUUUCUUCACUUGACUUUGGACACUGCUGGUUUAAGAGUUUGAAAUGAGAGGCUAGAGGUGUUAUCACUGGUUUACAGUUGCUCAUUCCAAAGGUAUUAAGUACUUUUUCCAAGUACUUCUUCUGAGACAAAAACAUAGUUCCCUUCCUUCUGUCUCUUGUGAUUUCCAUGCCCAAAAUCUUCUUGGCAUGACCCAGAUCCUUCAUAUCAAACUCAGAGUUCAACGUCUGUUUUAAAGCUUCGAAUUUUUCCCUCACUUUACAAGCAAUCAACAUAUCAUCAACAUACAGUAGCAAGUAUAUGUGAUGAUCUGAAUCUAUUUGCUUAUAGUAUACACAACAAUCAAAAUUACACCUCAUGAAUCCAUGUGAAAUCAUGAAUUCAUCAAACCUGAGGUACUAUUGCCUUGGGGACUGCUUCAAGCCAUAUAAUGAUUUCUUCAGCAAGCAUACAUGGUCAGGGUGUUUAGAGUAUACAAAUCCUUCAGGUUGAGUCAUUAAAUUGAGAGUUUGUUUUCUAUCAUUACUCAUGCAAGGAUUUAGUUUUUAUAUUGAGUUUUGAUAGGUUGACUAUGUUGGACACUGAUUGUUCAUUUAUACUUUGGCUUUGGUUGUAUCGGGUAAAAUAUAUUUCAAAGCAAAUAAAAAUCAAUAAUCUAUCAAAAUAAAAGGUCAAACGAUGGUCUUAUUGGUAAAAGCCUAAAAGUUCGUUGAUCCAAACGUUAUCAACUAAUUAUUUUUUUGUUGGAAAUAUCUUCGCGCUCCACUAUUUUAAUAUUUUUGUAAAUCCACCACAUUUCUAGAAAAUAAUUACAAUGAGUUUACUUUUUUUUUAAACAAAAACAAAUCAACAAAAGUUUUCUACAAUUAAUCAACUAAAUUCUUCUUAUAUAUAUAUAUAUAUAUAUAUAUAUAUAUAUUUUACCACUUAGGUUUCUUUGACCAUCUUUGAUUACAAAAGUUGCUUUGAUAUAAAUUUAUCUGACUAUUUUAUCCUUAUGAUAUAAAAUGAUCAAAUUACCCUUAUAAACAUAAGUUGUUGUAUCUAAUAGUCUAGCUAUUGAAUUUUUAUGGCUAUAAUAUAAUGUUUUUAAAUGAAUCUAAUAAUUAUUUUUGAUAUCCUUACAUGUGAAUGACAUAAAUUUGAUAUUCCAAUAAUUUACGUGAACAUUCUAUCUUAAAGAACAUUAUAUUAGUUUAAUUAAAAAUUAAUGAUCAUACUAACAAAGUAGUAGGGGUGUUCAGAAUCCAAUCCGAUCCGCUCAAUCCGUCCGAUCCGCUCAAUCCGAUCCGUGGAUUGGUGGAUUGGAUAUGAAUUGAAAAUUUAAAAAUCCGCAGUCGAUGGAUUGGAUAUGGAUUUACUUCUGUAAAUCUGCAAAAAUCUGUGAAUCCGCAAAAAAAAAAAAUUUAUAUAUAUAUAAUUUAAAAAUUAGUAUAAAUUUAAUUUAAAAAAUUAUAAAUGUGACAUUACAUAGUUACAUAAGCACUAUAACAUAUCUUAGCCAUUACCCAAUAAUUAUAUAAAAUAAAAAAUAAUUAAAUAAUCAAAUAUACAAAUAUAACUUGUAAAAAUUAUAAAACAAAAUAAAAGCAAAGUCUCACUCACUAGCAAAAGCAAAGUAACAUAACGCCAAGUCACAAACAAUUUGCAAACAAAAAACCCAAGCUUCCCCGCCGUCACACACACUAGCAACAUUCAAUACUGGUUAGAUACACUCUCGACACGGAUUUGAAGGACAUCGGCCGCGCGAUUACGACGAGAGCAAGCCAUCUUCUUUCCCAAGCCCAUUGAGCCACUUCACAUUCACUGGUUCUAGCUGAACAAUUUCACUAUCACAACCUUCAAGAUCGCCACCCGUACGGCUUCUCUUGGUUCCCAUCGUGGACGGCUUCGUAAUCACCACUUUUCGACAGGCGUAACAGCCCUGGUGAAGGAUCAGACUGUGUUUGGUUUCCGAAACUUCAUCAUUUCAAUUAAUUGUGGCUUUAUUUCAACAAUUAAUUUCGGUGUUAUAUUAACGUAUUAUUGUAACUUUAUUUGAACAAUUAAGCUUGGUGUGUUAUAUUUUGAAACUUUGAACGUAUUAUUGUAGCUUUAUUUGAAUAAUUAGUCUUGAUGUGUUAUAUUUUGAAACUUUAAAUGUAUUAUUUUAGCUUUAUUUAAACAAUUAAUUUAUUUAAAUUUUAUUCAAUUUUAAAUUUAAUUGGUAGGAAAAUUAUUUUUAUAUUAGAUUUUUUAUUAUUUCAUUAGUUGGAGAGAACUAAAAAUUUUUAAUUCAAAAACUAAUGCGCAAAAUGGUGGAUUGGAUAUGGAUUGAGUCAAAUCCGCAUCCGAUCCGCAGACGUAUGGAUUGGAUAUGGAUUGAGUCAAAUCCGCAUCUGAUCCGCAGAUGUAUGGAUUUGAUUUGAAUUGAAUUUUAUCAAUCUGUGGAUUGAAUUGGAUUGAAAAAUUAUAAUCCGCAAAAUCAUGGAUCGGACAUGGAUUGAUGUCCAAUCCGUAAAAUUCGAUCUGCGAACACCCCUACAAAGUAGUAUUAAUAUAUUAUUUAGAAACAAUGAAUUCCAAAUAAAAUGAAAGUAAAUUUUUAGUGCUUUUAUUUUAUAAGGAUAAAACAGCCGAUUUAAACUAACACUAAAUCAAUCACUAUAAUCAAAUAUACUAAAAAAAAUAAGGUCCCAAAAAAAAAAAAAUUUUAAUUGAAAUAUCCCUAUCCAUUAUUUUUUGGAUAAGUUUGAAAGAAAAAGUCGUCUGCCCCCGGCCCACCGCCCACUGUGCACGCUGUCCACUGCUCGCAGUAUCGGCGCAACGCUGCGUUCGACAAACCACUUUUAAACCAAUGUGCCACUUCCGCAUAAUAAUAAUUCGGGAUCUCCAAAUCGACGGCGAUCAUUAUAUCUUAAAAAAAUCACAACCGUUCAAUAUUUAAAAAAAAUCUUUUAAAUCAUACAAUAAAAAUAUCUCAUCCUUAUCCACUAACCUGGUCCCAUCGCUACGCUUUCCCAGAUGAUGCAGAGCAAGAAAUUGAAGAAAUCCUAAUUAUAUUUAAAUGUAUAAUAUUUAGGAAUAUUUUAAUUAAUUUGUAUUAUAGUUUAAUUUGGUUUCCUAUUUAGAGUCUUAUUGUUUAGGUAUUGCUUAUUUGGGUAAUAUUCCUAAUUUGGGCAUAAGUCUUAUUAAAAUAGGUUUUCUAAUCAUAUUAGGAUAAGUCUUAUUUAGUAUAAAUAAGUGUCUUUUGUAGCUUUUACAAGAAGAGAAUUUUUAGUUUAAUAAUAUUUCAAUUUUCAAAUCUCUUUGUGAGUAUUUGAACAGUUAAUUCUCGGUAUUCUGUGGAAUCAACGAGUCUUAAUCCUUAAAUUCGCGGUAUUCUUUUGAAUCAAUGUGAAUUUAGUUAUUCUUUUGUUCCGGUAUUCUCUAGAAUUAACGGAAUAGUUUGAACAUUAAACUUCCGCUGCAUCAGCUUGGUAUCAGAGUCAAAACCUGGUAUUACUCAUCUAAUCCCAUCUACCACCAAACGUUUCCUUUCUCCUUUUUGUUUUUUUCCGUUUAGUUUAAAAAAAAAAAUAACCCAAACAACACCAAAAAAGCAUAGGAAAAAAAAAGAAAAAAAUUAUAUCAUGAAAUCACAACAUCAACGUGAAGAUUUCAUCUUGAGAGAUGUUUUAGUUAAGAUGUUGAGGAUUUUGCAUUCAAUUUCUCAAGAUUUAGAGAAAAUUCGAGAUAGAAAAUCUUUACACAUAAAGCAUGCAUAUGGAUUUGAUGACGUUGUUCACGAUGAUGGUUGUUAUGAAGAUAAUGAGGAAAAUGGUAACUUUGUUCCUUUCGACAAUAUUAUUCCUUCCGAGGAGAAUAUUAAUUGGCCAUUCAUGUCUACAACAAAUCCUCAACACAAAGACAUUGAUUUGGAUCAAUCGCCGAAAUUUGAUGAGUAUCUUGAUAUUGUGGGACGAGAAGAGGUAAUUGUUCAUCCAUCUUUUGAUCUUGUGGAGGAGAGAGAGAUAGUUGUUGAUACAAUCUCUUAUUGUUCUCUUGAUUUGCCGAAAGAAGACAAAAAGAGUUGUGAUAUUUUUCAACAGUUAGUGGAUUAUGAGAAGAAAUCGUUUUUCCUCAACUAUGUUGAUGUUCGACACGAACAAUAUGAGAAGAAAUUAUUGGAGAAGUUGUUGAUAGAAGAAUUUAUUUUACGCCAUUGGAGUGAUUGGAUGGACAUUAUUACAAAAGUUGGAAAAUUUAAAGUUUGUUGUCUAUGUCAAAGCUCUGUUUUAAAAAUUAAUCCUUAUGCACAUGAAGAUGUUCUUGAAGACUACAACAUACAAAAUUCGAGGACGAAUUUUCUCCAACCUGGCGGGAAUGAUGCAGAGCAAGAAAUUGAAGAAAUCCUAAUUAUAUUUUAAUGUAUAAUAUUUAGGAAUAUUUUAAUUAAUUUGUAUUCUAGUUUAAUUUGAUUUCCUAUUUAGAGUCUUAUUGUUUAGGUAUUGCUUAUUUGGGUAAUAUUCCUAAUUUAGGCAUAAGUCUUAUUAAAAUAGGUUUUCUAAUCAUAUUAGGAUAAGUCUUAUUUAGUAUAAAUAAGUGUCUUUUGUAGCUUUUACAAAAAGAGAAUUUUUAGUUUAAUAAUAUUUCAAUUUUCAAAUCUAUUUGUGAGUAUUUGAACAGUUAAUUCUCGGUAUUCUGUGGAAUCAACGAGUCUUAAUCCUUAAAUUCGCGGUAUUCUUUUGAAUCAAUGUGAAUUUAGUUAUUCUUUUGUUCCGGUAUUCUCUAGAAUCAACGAAAUAGUUUGAACAUUAAAUUUCCGCUGCAUCACCAGACCUUCAAGCAUAAGGAAGAGAUAUUCAUACUCGUUGGUAUUUAACCCAUUCUCCACGACCAAGCAAAAUAUAAAGUGAUUAAAGUCUACAGAUACAAUAACCAAAACCACUCUGUUUGGUUACGAUGUUAAAGUCGAUCGUUGCUGGCUCUUGCUCUGUUCCGUUACGGUUGCAAGCUAAAGAUAAUCUUACUGCAGGAACAUGUUUUUCUGAUACAACAAGAAUACAAGAUCUGCUUCGGUGGCUUGCCGUUCUUCUUCUUCGAGAACCAGCGAUUAUAAUGUCCCAAAACUCGAACCCUUUAGCCGUACUAAGUUAGAACGUGCCGUCAAAGAACCCUCCUUGAUCGAAAAAUCUGAAAACGAUCUUGUAGGUCCAUGUCCGUUACUUAUUUUCAAAAAUUUUAACAAAUUUUAUUUAAUCUUAUUUUAAAUAAGCCUUCUGUUAUGGUUCCUGUGCAGAUUAUUGUUCAACACUUGAAGGUGAUGAUUCCUACAGUUGCUGGAGAGCUUACUUUGAGUUCAAAGAUCUUGAAGUUAGUCUAUUCAUUUACUUCAUAUCAUAUUGCCCUUAAAACUUAUAAUUCAAAUGGAACUUUGUAUGUGAACUUUAAUUCUUUGUGUGAAAUUGAUCAGAAAGAAUCGCCAAAAGAAGAUGUCGAGAAACUGAUCCUGCAAUCGGGUGGUGUGAAAUCUUUAAUUGGGUGCUUACAUGGGAUUCCAUCAAUACGCAAAGCAAAGACUGAUGGGCUUGCUUCGAAAGAAAAGCCAUUGGGUUCCAAGAGAAUAGAAAGCAGUUCACGUCCUGUCCCGGAUGGGCUGCCCAAGACCCUGGAAGAGCUUGAGGAAGAAGAGAGAGCGAGAAUGCCUGAUUCUCCAUACACGAGAUUGCUUAGAGCGAAAGGGAGACUCCCUGCUUGGUACUCGCAUGCCCCUGAUCACGAAACAGAUUGAUAAUUUGGGCAAAGAGGUUUAACAAGUUUUGUGUUGGUUCAUUGCAGAUAUUAUCAUGGAUCUGGUGUAUUAUUUAAAUGUG
rnacentral:lncRNA from 1 species